CCUACGGGUGGCAGCAGUGAGGAAUAUUGGUCAAUGGGCGGAAGCCUGAACCAGCCAAGUAGCGUGAAGGAUGACAGCCCUACGGGUUGUAAACUGCUUUUAUACGGGAAUAACGCGCCUUACGUGUAGGGUUUUGCAUGUACCUUAUGAAUAAGGACCGGCUAAUUCCGUGCCAGCAGCCGCGGUAAUACGGAAGGUCCGGGCGUUAUCCGGAUUUAUUGGGUUUAAAGGGAGCGUAGGCCGGAUUACAAGUGUGCUGGGAAAUGUUCGGGCUCAACCCGGGCCUUGCAGUGGAAACUGGCGUGCUUGAGUAUGCGGAAGGCACGCGGAAUUCGUGGUGUAGCGGUGAAAUGCUUAGAUAUGACGAAGAACUCCGAUUGCGAAGGCAGUUUGCUGCAGCGAAACUGACGCUGAGGCUCGAAAGCGCGGGUAUCGAACAGGAUUAGAUACCCCGGUAGUC
rnacentral:rRNA from 1 species